rnacentral:rRNA from 1 species
GAUGAACGCUGGCGGCGUGCCUAAUACAUGCAAGUAGAACGCUGAAGGAGGAGCUUGCUCUUCUGGAUGAGUUGCGAACGGGUGAGUAACGCGUAGGUAACCUGCCUGGUAGCGGGGGAUAACUAUUGGAAACGAUAGCUAAUACCGCAUGACAACAGUUAUUGCAUGAUAACUGUUUAAAAGGGGCAACUGCUCCACUACCAGAUGGACCUGCGUUGUAUUAGCUAGUUGGUGAGGUAACGGCUCACCAAGGCGACGAUACAUAGCCGACCUGAGAGGGUGAUCGGCCACACUGGGACUGAGACACGGCCCAGACUCCUACGGGAGGCAGCAGUAGGGAAUCUUCGGCAAUGGACGGAAGUCUGACCGAGCAACGCCGCGUGAGUGAAGAAGGUUUUCGAAUCGUAAAGCUCUGUUGUAAGAGAAGAACGAGUGUGAGAGUGGAAAGUUCACACUGUGACGGUAUCUUACCAGAAAGGGACGGCUAACUACGUG